rnacentral:rRNA from 1 species
AGUGAACGCUGGCGGUAGGCCUAACACAUGCAAGUCGAACGGCAGCACAGUAAGAGCUUGCUCUUACGGGUGGCGAGUGGCGGACGGGUGAGGAAUACAUCGGAAUCUACUUUUUCGUGGGGGAUAACGUAGGGAAACUUACGCUAAUACCGCAUACGACCUACGGGUGAAAGCAGGGGAUCUUCGGACCUUGCGCGAUUGAAUGAGCCGAUGUCGGAUUAGCUAGUUGGCGGGGUAAAGGCCCACCAAGGCGACGAUCCGUAGCUGGUCUGAGAGGAUGACCAGCCACAGUGGAACUGAGAACCGGCCCAGCCCCCGCCGGGGGGCAGAAGGGGGGAAUAUUGGACAGGGGGCGCAGGCCUGAUCCACCCAUACCGGGGGGGGAAAGAAGGCCUUCGGUUUUUAAACCCUUUUUGUGGGGAAAAAAAAGAAGCAGGUUAAUCCCCCGUUGUUCGGACGUUCCCCAAGAAAUAACCCCCGCCAAAUUUGGGC